UACUUCCUCAGUGAAGCUAAACUCGAAGCAGCAAUUGCCCAGAGCACCUGCCUUACAAAGACUUCUCUAUGGGUAGUCUGUGAUUGGACAGCCACAGAAAGUCUAAGUGGGAUUCGAAGGGGUGAUCUUGCAAAGGCAGAUCUGCAGGUUUUACAAGUGUUUUUACAUAUAUACCAAAUGGAAAAAAAGCAUAAUUAAAUGCAUGUUUUUGUUUGGGCUAUAUCUUCUAAAUGGGGAUUUUUCAUUUUUGUGUUUGGGUAGUCGAGUGUCCCUUUAAAUCAACUGUGCCUCCUCUCAGAGGGAAUAAAAUAAGGGAUUGAACCCUUCCUAGCAGAUUGAAGUAUUCAGCAUCCCCUUACUGUGUAGGCAAAGCCUCUCCAUCCUUCGAAGGAAUGAUGCCGUAUAAUGUGUUUGGUUCUCGCUCUCAUGGUGAUCGUGAAUAGUAACUAUUGGUUAAAACGGAAAAUCUGAUUAAAUGCACAAUUUAGCACUAAGGCCUCAUUAUUCAAGUGCAAAAUAACCUUAUUCUGUGUCAUGGACCUCGUUUUAGGCUGGUCGGUAAGGUACAAAAUAGUUCAGGUAUGUGUUUUCUACAUAUUGCAGUCUGGAUUUCAUAACAUAAAAUUAAAGAUUAAAGUUUUAACUCCGCUGUUCAGUCUAAUUUGACAUUCUAUUAAUCUAUCAAAGUCAACUGAAGUCCCAGCUGCUACAACAGCGCCAACAAAAAGCAGUCUAUCUGUUGUAGGAGAUACUUGUACCACAAAACGGAACCUUCAUGUCCCGUAUAACUGUAGAAGAUUUAACCCCCUUGAUAAGUGGAU